rnacentral:tRNA from 1 species
AGGACCUUAGCUCAGUUGGUAGAAGCGGAAGACUGUAGUAGUUGCUGUAAUCUUUAGGUCGCUGGUUCGAUUCCGGCAGGUCGGA